UGGGGAAUAUUGGACAAUGGGCGAAAGCCUGAUCCAGCCAUGCCGCGUGAGUGAUGAAGACCUUAGGGUUGUAAAGCUCUUUUAGCAGGGAAGAUAAUGACGGUACCUGCAGAAAAAGCCCCGGCUAACUUCGUGCCAGCAGCCGCGGUAAUACGAAGGGGGCUAGCGUUGCUCGGAAUUACUGGGCGUAAAGCGCACGUAGGCGGACUCUUAAGUCGGUGGUGAAAUCCUGGAGCUCAACUCCAGAACUGCCUUCGAUACUGGGAGUCUUGAGUUCGGGAGAGGUGAGUGGAACUGCGAGUGUAGAGGUGAAAUUCGUAGAUAUUCGCAAGAACACCAGUGGCGAAGGCGGCUCACUGGCCCGAUACUGACGCUGAGGUGCGAAAGCGUGGGGAGCAAACA
rnacentral:rRNA from 1 species